rnacentral:tRNA from 1 species
GCUGAGGAUGUAGCUCAGUGGUAGAAUGCUUGCUUAGUAUGUGUGAGGCCCUGGGUUCAAUCCCCAACACAGCA